CCUAGUUACCAGCACGUUAUGGUGGGCACUCUAAGGAGACUGCCAGUGACAAACCGGAGGAAGGUGGGGGAUGACGUCAAGUCAUCAUGGCCCUUACGGCCUGGGCUACACACGUGCUACAAUGGUCGGUACAAAGGGUUGCCAAGCCGCGAGGUGGAGCUAAUCCCAUAAAACCGAUCGUAGUCCGGAUCGCAGUCUGCAACUCGACUGCGUGAAGUCGGAAUCGCUAGUAAUCGUGAAUCAGAAUGUCACGGUGAAUACGUUCCCGGGCCUU
rnacentral:rRNA from 1 species